rnacentral:lncRNA from 1 species
CAUUUUCACAUCUUCGUUCCAUCCCCCACGUUUUCGACCCCGGUUGCUGGUGUGACCGUUUUCGGGCUCCCGUAACCUAUAGCACAUGUUUUUCUUGCAAAAAUGGGUCCGAGGCCAUUUUCACGUCUUCGGUCCGUCCCCCACGUUUUCGACCUCGGUGGCCGAUAUGGCCUUUUUGGGGCUCCCAUGACCUAUAGCACACGUUUUCAUGGCCGAAAAUAGGUCCGGAUGCC